rnacentral:rRNA from 1 species
AGAGUUUGAUCCUGGCUCAGGACGAACGCUGGCGGCGUGCUUAACACAUGCAAGUCUAACGGGCCCUUCGGGGUCAGUGGCAAACGGGAGCGUAACACGUAAGCAAUCUACCAUUAAGACUGGCAUAACCUGCCGAAAGGUGGGCUAAUUCCAGAUGUGUUGUCUGAACAUAAGUUUGGCCAACAAAGGGAACCACAAGAACCGCUUAAUGAUGAGCUUGCGGCCUAUCAGCUAGUUGGUGAGGUAAUGGCCCACCAAGGCGACGACGGGUAGCUGAUCUGAGAGGAUGACCAGCCUCAAUGGAACUGCGACACGGUCCAUACUCCUACGGGAGGCAGCAGUGAGGAAUUUUCCACAAUGGGCGAAAGCCUGAUGGAGCGACGCCGCGCGUAUGAUGAAGUCCUUCGGGACGUAAAAUACUGUCAGUGGGGAAGAUAUUGACGGUACCCACAGAGGAAGCCCCGGCCAACUACGUGCCAGCAGCCGCGGUAAUACGUAGGGGGCAAGCGUUGUCCGGAAUUACUGGGCGUAAA